rnacentral:rRNA from 1 species
AGUGAACGCUGGCGGCAGGCCUAACACAUGCAAGUCGAACGAACGCUUCGGAGUUAGUGGCGGACGGGUGUGUAACACGAGGGAACGGGCAUUUUGGGUCGGAAUAACUCUGGGAAACUUGUGCUAAUACCGAAUGUGCGCUUCGGGGGAAAGAUUUAUCGCCCUUCGAGCGGCCCGCGUCUGAUUCGCUAGUUGGUUCGGUAACGGCUCACCAAGGGGACCAUCAGUAACUGGGCUGGGAGCAUGACCAGCAACACUGGGACAGAGACACGUCCCGGACUCCUCGGGAAGGCAGAAGGGGGGACGCUGGCACACUGGGCGAAAGCCUGAGGCAGCCAGGCCGCGUGACUGUUGAAGGUCUGAGGAUUGUAAAUGUCUUUAACCGUGCACAUCAUGACGGUACCCCGGCAAGAAGCCCCGGCUAACUUCGUG